AUGAACGCUAGCUACAGGCUUAACACAUGCAAGUCGAGGGGCAGCGGGAUUGAAGCUUGCUUCAAUUGCCGGCGACCGGCGCACGGGUGAGUAACGCGUAUCCAACCUUCCGCUUACUCGGGGAUAGCCUUUCGAAAGAAAGAUUAAUACCCGAUGGUAUCUUAAGCACGCAUGAGAUUAAGAUUAAAGAUUUAUCGGUAAGCGAUGGGGAUGCGUUCCAUUAGGCAGUUGGCGGGGUAACGGCCCACCAAACCUACGAUGGAUAGGGGUUCUGAGAGGAAGGUCCCCCACAUUGGAACUGAGACACGGUCCAAACUCCUACGGGAGGCAGCAGUGAGGAAUAUUGGUCAAUGGGCGAGAGCCUGAACCAGCCAAGUAGCGUGAAGGAUGACGGCCCUACGGGUUGUAAACUUCUUUUGUGCGGGAAUAAAGGAACCUACGUGUAGGUUUUUGCAUGUACCGUAACGAAUAAGCAUCGGCUAACUCCGUGCCAGCAGCCGCGGUAAUACGGAGGAUGCGAGCGUUAUCCGGAUUUAUUGGGUUUAAAGGGAGCGUAGACGGGUUUUUAAGUCAGCUGUGAAAGUUUGGGGCUCAACCUUAAAAUUGCAGUUGAAACUGGAGACCUUGAGUACGGUUGAGGCAGGCGGAAUUCGUGGUGUAGCGGUGAAAUGCUUAGAUAUCACGAAGAACCCCGAUUGCGAAGGCAGCCUGCUAAGCCGCCACUGACGUUGAGGCUCGAAAGUGCGGGUAUCAAACAGGAUUAGAUACCCUGGUAGUCCGCACGGUAAACGAUGGAUACUCGCUGUUGGCGAUAGACAGUCAGCGGCCAAGCGAAAGCGUUAAGUAUCCCACCUGGGGAGUACGCCGGCAACGGUGAAACUCAAAGGAAUUGACGGGGGCCCGCACAAGCGGUGGAGCAUGUGGUUUAAUUCGAAGCAACGCGAAGAACCUUACCAAGUCUUGACAUCCUGCGACGCACAUAGAAAUAUGUGUUUCCUUCGGGACGCAGAGACAGGUGGUGCAUGGUUGUCGUCAGCUCGUGCCGUGAGGUGUCGGCUUAAGUGCCAUAACGAGCGCAACCCUUGCUGCCAGUUACUAACAGGUCAUGCUGAGGACUCUGGCAGGACUGCCAUCGUAAGAUGCGAGGAAGGUGGGGAUGACGUCAAAUCAGCACGGCCCUUACGUCCGGGGCUACACACGUGUUACAAUGGGGAGUACAGAGGGCAGCUACCGGGCGACCGGAUGCGAAUCCCGAAAGCUCCUCUCAGUUCGGACUGGAGUCUGCAACCCGACUCCACGAAGCUGGAUUCGCUAGUAAUCGCGCAUCAGCCACGGCGCGGUGAAUACGUUCCCGGGCCUUGUACACACCGCCCGUCAAGCCAUGAAAGCCGGGGGUACCUGAAGUACGUAACCGCGAGGAUCGUCCUAGGGUAAAACCGGUAAUUGGGGCU
rnacentral:rRNA from 1 species